AAUCAACGCUGGCGGCGUGCCUAACACAUGCAAGUCGAACGAGAAAGUGACUUCGGUCACUGGACAGUGGCGUCCGGGUGAGUAACACGUGGGUAAUCUACCUUCGGGUGGGGAAUAACGUCUCGAAAGAGACGCUAAUACCGCAUAAUGCAGCGGCACCUUAUGGUGAAUAGUUGUUAAAGCGGGGGAUCGCAAGACCUCGCGCCUGAAGAGGAGCCUGCGGCAGANAGCUUGUUGGUGAGGUAAUGGCUCACCAAGGCUGCGAUCUGUAGCUGGUCUGAGAGGACGGCCAGCCACACUGGCACUGACACACGGGCCAGACUCCUACGGGAGGCAGCAGUGGGGAAGUUUUGGGCAAUGGGCGCAAGCCUGACCCAGCAACGCCGCGUGAGGGAGGAAAUCCUUCGGGAUGUAAACCUC
rnacentral:rRNA from 1 species